AAGGUUCUUUGUGGAUUGGCUCUGAAUUGUACAGAUGUUCUAUGUCUGGGCAGCUACUGCUGGGCACUUCAGGGGAGGGCUGAGGGAACCUUACCUCUGUAGCAGGACUUGAUGUCUAGUGUGGCUGUUACUUAUUUCUUCUGCACCCCACUGAGGGAAAGACAAACCAGAAAGAGAAGAAGAUAGCUAGCAUGAGGGUGCCUUUUGUACAUUUCUUCAAUAAACCCAAGAAGUAGCCUUAAGGAAGAAGCCAGUGUUCUCAUUUCCAGCUGUUGACAUGCAAGAGGCCAUGCAUUAAUUAUGUGUUUUUCUUGCUUCUGUAAAUGAAAAGAGAUUUUAAUUUCGAAAACAGUCCAUUCAUCAUUUUAUCCAAGGAAUUUAAACAGUGUGAGCAGUAACGUGUGAAGGGAGUUGGGUAUCUUGCCCAUGUCAGCUUUCUGCACUGUUGCUGAGAAUGUAAAGGACCCUGGAAAAGGCUUUGACACCACCCAUUAUGUGGGGACUCUAUGUGCAGUUGGCUAUAGAAAGGUCUUGUGCAUGUCCAAUGACUACUUAUUUUCUUUGUGGGAGUUUUCUUAAAUUUUGUAAAGUCAGUUGGAGUCUUAAUUACAUGGUAGUUGGCAUAAUUGUUAGAAUAACACAUUCAAAGAUUAAUGUAAUGAAAUGGUGUCAAAUCGCUGUGGGCAGCAGUUUGCCCAUGCUGAUUCGGGGAAAGAGCUGAGUGUUUUACUUGGACGCACCUAUAGAUAAUUGUUCUGCAGACGGUGACAAGCUCUCUUGAUUUGGGCAGGAAAUAAUUGGCAUCACUGCUGUCUCUGCUGUAAAGUAGUCAGAAUAGCCUUAUGUCAUUUGAUAUGCUUAGACGUGAGGGAGACCAAGCUUAUCCUGAAGGUCACUUUCUGAGGAGUCCAACCUGUCACCAACCAGGCUUUGGAUUUUAGACAUUGAUGCUAAUCAUUCUUGUGACAGAAGGCUGCUUUGUGUAAAGUCCUCCAUGGUCCCAGUGGGGUUUGAUCCCAGGAGCUCAUGUGCUGAAGUUAGGAGCUCCGCAGAUGCUGCAGUCCCUCAUGUAAAACAAUGCUGUAUUUGCAUAUAUCUAAAUGUAUUGCCUUCUCCUUUUUCCUGUGCUUUUGUAGAUGGGUUCUUGCUGUGCUGUCCAGGCAUCCCCCAAGUGAUCCUUCUCCCUCUGCCUCCUCAGAGACUGGGAUGUAAGCAUAUGCCACAUGCCCACCUUCUCCCCGAGUGUCACGUGGUUGCUGGGUCAUGUGAUACCGAGCACACUGAAUUUGCUAUGGGAUGGCUGUUGCACUGUACUUUGCAGGAGAUAAUGACAGGGAAAGUCUGUAGACAGUCAGUAUAAGAACAGUCUUUUCUACUAGGAGUUAGUUGAAUUGGCAGACUCACAGAUAAGAACUAGGGGAGAGCUCACGGUAUCUGUCUAGAAGAGCCAGCCAUGACUUUGCCUUUCCUUGGCGAUACUGAGAAUAACAAAGAUUGCAACUACUUGAGUUGGGAGAGGCGGACAGAGCAAGACACUGCUCCUUCCUCCUCCUCCCUCCUUUCCUACUUUUCUAACAUCUUUAAGUUUUUGUUUUUGUUUCUGUUUCUUGCUGUAAUAGCCAAAAGUCCUUGAACUUUUUUGUAGGCCAGGCUGACCCCAAAUUCACAGAGAUCUACCUGCCUCUGCCUCCCCAGUUCAGGGAUUAAAGGUGUGUGUUACCAUAUUUGGCUUAAUGUCUUAUUUUUAAAAGAAAGAUUUUGGGCUUGAUGUGGUGAUAUAUGCCUUUAAUCCCAGUAUUUGAAAGGCAGAGACAGGCUGAUCUCUAUGAGGUCUAAGCAAGUCUAGCCUUUAUAGUGAGUUCCAGGCUGAGUGGGGCUGUGUGGUAAGCCCUAUCU
rnacentral:lncRNA from 1 species